AGUGAACGCUGGCGGCAUGCCUAAUACAUGCAAGUCGAGCGGACGGACGGGAAGCUCGCGUUCUUGCUGUUGGCGGCGGACGGGUGGGUGAGACGUGGAUAAGCUACCUCUUAGACUGGGAUAACUUCGGGGGACCGGAGAUACUAAUAGCUCAUAUGAUGUACGGGAUGGUUCAGAAGUGCUAGACGGUCUUGGCGUCACUUAUAGCUGAAGUCGCGCUGGAUUAGCUAGUUGGUAAGGUAACGGCUUACCAAGGCUACGAUGCAUAGCUGGCCUGAGAGGGUGAUCAGCCACACUGGAACUGAGACACGGUCCAGACUCCUACGGGAGGCAGCAGUAGGGAAUCUUCCACAAUGGGCGAAAGCCUGACGGAGCAACGCCGCGUGAGUGAUGAAGGUCUUCGGGUCGUAAAGCUCUGUUGUUGGGAAAGAACAGCAGCGUAUUAAACCGUGCACGUCCUGACGGUACCCAAAGAAUAAGCCACGGCUAACUUCGUG
rnacentral:rRNA from 1 species